rnacentral:rRNA from 1 species
UGAGAUUUCCCAUAACUUUAUGUUAGUAAGAGCCCUGAGAGAUGAUCAGGUAGAUAGGUUGGAAGUGGAAGUGUGGCGACACAUGUAGCGGACCAAUACUAAUCGCUCGAGGACUUAUCCAAA